AUUGAACGCUGGCGGCAGGCCUAACACAUGCAAGUCGAACGGGUGGCGGACGGGUGACUAAUGUCUAGGAAACUGCCAGAUGGCGGGGGAUAACUACAGGAAACGGUAGCUAAUACCGCAUACCAUCGGAUGUGCCCAGAUGGGAUUAGCUUGUAGGUUAGGUAACGGCUCACCUAGGCGACGAUGCCUAGCUGGUCUGAGAGGAUGACCAGCCACACUGGAACUGAGACACGGUCCAGACUCCUACGGGAGGCAGCAGUGGGGAAUAGUGCACAAUGGGCGCAAGCCUGAUGCAGCCAUGCCGCGUGUAUGAAGAAGGCCUUCGGGUUGUAAAGUACUGUCAGCGGGGAGGCGGUACCCGCAGAAGAAGCACCGGCUAACUCCGUGCCAGCAGCCGCGGUAAUUC
rnacentral:rRNA from 1 species